GGUCAAGCUACUAAGGGCAAACGGGGGAUGCCUUGGCGGUGGAUGGCGAUGAAGGACGUGUCAGGCUGCGAAAAGCCUCGGGGAGCUGCCAAAGAGCGUUGAUCCGGGGAUUUCCGAAUGGGGAAACCUGUCCAUGGUAAUGCAUGGACGCCCGAGAGGGAGCGAACCCAGGGAAGUGAAACAUCUCAGUACCUGGAGGAAGAGAAAGAAAAUUCGAUUCCGUAAGUAGCGGCGAGCGAAAGCGGAAGAGCCUAAACCGUAUCAGCAAUGAUGCGGGGUAGUGGGGCCGCGAUGUGGUACUCUGAAUCUUAGCAGAACAGUCUGGAAAGUCUGGCCAUAGAGGGUGAAAGCCCCGUAAGCGAAAAGAGGAGGAGGCCUAGCGGGACCCCGAGUACCACGGAGUAAGAGGAAUUCUGUGGGAAUCUGGGAGAACCAUCUCCUAAGGCUAAAUACAAGCCACCGACCGAUAGCGCACAAGUACCGUGAGGGAAAGGUGAAAAGAACCCCUGUUAGGGGAGUGAAAUAGAAUCUGAAACCGUUUGCCUACAAGCGGUCCGAGCAAGGUUUACCUUGUGAGGGCGUGCCUUUUGCAUAAUGAGCCUGCGAGUUACCGUAUGCAGCGAGGUUAAGCCGAUAGGUGUAGCCGUAGGGAAACCGAGUCUGAAUAGGGCGAUAGUUGCAUGCGGUAGACCCGAAACCAGUCGAUCUACCCAUGGGCAGGAUGAAGUCACAGUAAAAUGUGAUGGAGGUCCGAACCGGUGAGGGUUGAAAACCUCUCGGAUGACCUGUGGGUAGGGGUGAAAGGCCAAUCAAGGCUGGUGAUAGCUGGUUCUCCCCGAAAUGCAUUUAGGUGCAGCGUAGGGAGUUGUCCACUGGGGGUAGAGCACUAUUUGGGCUAGGGGCCGUAAGGUUACCGAACCCUGAUAAACUCCGAAUACUGGUGGAUGUACCCCUGCAGUGAGACUACGGGUGAGAAGAUCCGUGGUCGAGAGGGUAAGAGCCCAGACCGUCAGCUAAGGUCCCCAAAUGUAAGCUAAGUGUUAAAGGAUGUGUAAUUUCAGAGACAGCCAGGAAGUUGGCUUAGAAGCAGCCACCUUUUAAAGAAAGCGUAACAGCUCACUGGUCAAGAAGUUAUGCGCCGAAGAUAUAACGGGGCUAAGCUUACUACCGAAGCUACGGCUUUACUGUUAAUCAGUAAGGGGUAGGGGAGCAUUCUGACGCCGCAGAAGGUGUGUCGUAAGGCAUGCUGGAGGAGUCGGAAGAGAUAAUGCAGGCAUGAGUAGCGAUAAAACGGGUGAGAAACCCGUUCGUCGUAAGCCUAAGGUUUCCACUGGCAGGGUAAUCCGCGGUGGGUUAGUCGGUCCCUAAGGCGAGGCCGAGAGGCGUAGUUGAUGGGAAACAGGUUAAUAUUCCUGUACCAGCGUUGCAUCGUUUGAGCGAUGGGGUGACGCAGAAGGUUAUGCGAUCCGGUUAUUGGAUUCCGGUUUAACGCGGUAGGCUGGUCUGUAGGCAAAUCCGCAGGCCGAUAAGCCGAGAGCGGAAUACGAGGCAGGUAACACUGUUGAAGUCGUAGAUACCAUGCUGCCGAGAAAAACCUCUAAGCGAGAUGUGAUGCUGACCGUACCACAAACCGACACAGGUAGGCGAGGCGAGAAUCCUAAGACGUUUGAGCGAACUCCAGCUAAGGAACUCGGCAAAAUGCCACCGUAACUUCGGGAUAAGGUGGGCUCAGAGUAUGUGAAAGGGUUUACCCCUGUAGCAGAAAUGAGUUGCAGAUGAGAGUCCCAGGUGACUGUUUAUCAAAAACACAGCACUCUGCCAACUCGUAAGAGGAAGUAUAGGGUGUGACGCCUGCCCGGUGCUGGAAGGUUAAGGGGAGGGGUUAGUCGCAAGGCGAAGCUCCGAACCGAAGCCCCAGUAAACGGCGGCCGUAACUAUAACGGUCCUAAGGUAGCGAAAUUCCUUGUCGGGUAAGUUCCGACCUGCACGAAAGGCGUAACAAUCUGGGAGCUGUCUCGGCUGGAGGCUCAGCGAAAUUGCAGUAGCGGUGAAAAUGCCGUUUACCCGCAGCAGGACGGAAAGACCCCGUGAACCUUUACUAUACCUUGGCAAUGAUAUUUGGUGCAUGAUGUGUAGGAUAGGUGGGAGGCGAAGAAGCUGGUGCGCUAGCAUCGGUGGAGCCGGCGUUGAAAUACCACCCUUCGUGUACUGAAUAUCUAACCUGGCUGCUGUGUAGGCAGAGGGACAUUGCCAGGCGGGUAGUUUGACUGGGGCGGUCGCCUCCUAAAAGGUAACAGAGGCGCGCGAAGGUACCCUCAGGUUGGUAGGAAACCAACUGUCGAGUGCAAAGGCAUAAGGGUGCUUAACUGAGAGACCAACAAGUCGAUCAGGUGCGAAAGCAGGCCUUAGUGAUCCGGCGGUUCCGAGUGGAAGGGCCGUCGCUCAACGGAUAAAAGGUACUCCGGGGAUAACAGGCUGAUCUCCCCCAAGAGUUCAUAUCGACGGGGAGGUUUGGCACCUCGAUGUCGGCUCAUCACAUCCUGGGGCUGAAGCAGGUCCCAAGGGUUCGGCUGUUCGCCGAUUAAAGUGGUACGCGAGCUGGGUUCAGAACGUCGUGAGACAGUUCGGUCCUUAUCCGCUGUGGGCGCAGGAGAUUUGAGGGGGUCUGUCCUUAGUACGAGAGGACCGGGAUGGACGAACCUCUGGUGCACCAGUUGUCUUGCCAUGGGCAUAGCUGGGUAGCCAUGUUCGGAAUGGAUAACCGCUGAAAGCAUCUAAGCGGGAAGCCAGCCCCAAGAUGAGAUCUCCCUGAAGAUCCGUUGUAGACUACAACGUUGAUAGGCUGGGUGUGUAAGCGCAGUGAUGCGUUGAGCUGACCAGUACUAAUAGAUCGUUCGGCUUGACCUU
rfam:Calditerrivibrio nitroreducens DSM 19672, complete genome.